UUUGUUUUGUUUUGUUUUGUUUGUUUUGUUUGCAACACGAACUGCUACAUUUUAUUUUUGCACCAAAGGAAAACAAAAGAGUCAUUUUACUAACUGUUAGUGUUUAAUGAUCAAGAAGGAAAUGAGGUCAAAAAGGAAACUUUUCACUUCCUCCCAAACAUAUUAUUGCAAGUAUCACAGAAACAAUACUGAUCUUCAACAUACAGAAGUUAAGCAAAAAAGGAGAAUACUGAAGAUACACAGGUCAGACUGGGAGCAGUGAUCCAAGAAGCUUGAAUAACCAAGCAGCUCUUUCUAUCCAUAUUCCAGGCUCAUCAAAUUCCUCCUAUUUCAAAGUAGAUAUCCACAUGCAGAAAUCUUGGCAGCUCCAAAUAUAUUAGUCUAGCUGUUUCACAUGGCAUCUCCACAAGCUGGGCCCCAACUCAGAUUCUGUGCAGGAAGUUCCCAUUGCUGUCAAAGAACUCCCAUCCCCUCUGCACCACUCUGCUGCUGAAGUUCUGGUUCUGAAGCUCCCCUGUCUUCAACAUUUCCAGUUUCUCAUCACUUGGCAAUCCAUUACUGUCAGUUCUUCUGGUGCCUACACAAUCACUGGAGUAUUUUUGCAGCUCUCUCUGAUGACCUAAGGCUGCAGUGAUAGGCACAAAGCUUUUCUUCUUCAAGCCCUGGGUUCCUUUAUUCCUUUCCUUUUGUCUCAGUGCAUUUGUACUGUGAGUUUUUGAUUCUAUCACUGUCAAAGCUGUGCUGUGGUGCUGACCUUCAGAUGAGACUUCAUCCCCUGGCAUCAGCAAAGAGUUUGACACAGAGUGGCCUGCAGCAGUGGCUUCACGGUAUCUCUAGAGCCCUAGAGCUGCGGGAGUGAGUGGGCAAACUCAGCUUUCUUAAGGACUUGUUGAUCCUGCUUCAGUUUCUGUUCCAAAGUGGGUACAAAUUUACUUUGUAAAACCCUUCGGAUAACAUCGAUGCUGACAUCAAAACCUUCAGCCAAUCUGGGAACUGACCAGGACUCAGCAAAUUCCUUAUGUAAAUACCGUAUCUGCUCCAUGGCUUCCCAUAUCAGGGCACCUGGCACCUCCAUUUGCCGAAUUUUCUGGAAUUGAAUUGCUUUUUUCUGCCGUUUCAGGGUGCUGGGGGAGACAGCCAAUGGCAGAAGCCACGCGUAGAAGCAAGAUGGGUGUUUGAAAAGUCUCGGGCUAAAUCACCAAGAGCCCUCUUUUGUGUCAGUAAAGGCCAGGGGCCACGUUUGCCAGCUUAACACCACUCUGUGCACCAACCCCAAAAUCUAACACCUACAACAAUAAUCUCCUGUAAGCAUGCUGAACUAUCUAAAAGUGUGACGAAAUAUACCUCACUAGCGAAGGAACUGUGUCCCAAGGGAGCUGAACAUCUGUACCAACGCCGCUGCUAACAACAGGUAAGAAGAAACUAUAUUAGUAUAGAGUCCCAGUGGAGGACGCCUGGCGUUGGGGGGCGCGGCUCGAAGCGCUGAGGCCCAAGGCCGGCUUCAGGCUGGGGCGGGAAAGGAGCUGGCCUCUCUACCUCCUGCAGCUCCCGCUCCCCUGGCUCCCAGUCGGAAUCCGUCCAGCUCUCGGCACAUAGGGCCUGAGCCCGCCAGCCCUGGGGUGGCGAACCCGUAGCAGGGACAGCAGUACGGACUCGGCCACCCAGCAAUAGGCUGAGGGUGACCGCCUUACUGGCGAAGUAAGCCACCUUCCUAUUUUAUGAGUUUUAUAUGCUAUAGUAUGGAUAUUAUAUUAGUCAAAGGUCAGUUUUAUAUGGGAAUCAGAUUUCAUCAUGUAGAUGUUACAUUAGUAUUAAAGUCCACAGGGCACCUGUUAUAGUAGUUUAAGGCCAUGCAUGUAUAUUAUAUUAGUAUUAAAGAUCAAAGGUCAGCUAUUAUAUUGGUUUCAGAUUGUAUAU
rnacentral:lncRNA from 1 species